rnacentral:piRNA from 1 species
UUAACUUUACCCCUAUGUACUUUCCAGGAGA